CACCAACAGACCCCACAGCAGCUCCACGAGCCCAGACACCAGCGGCCAGAAGCAAGGCUAGGAGCUGCUGCAGCCAUGUCGGCCUUCGGCCUCCUCAUUCUGGGUCUGCUCACGGCAGUGCCACCUGCCAGCUGUCAGCAAGGGAGCCUGCGCACAUGAUCCUGACCAUCGGAAACAAGGCAGAUGGAGUCCUAGUGGGAACGGACGGAAGGUACUCUUCGAUGGCGGCCAGUUUCAGGUCCAGUGAGCAUGAGAAUGCCUAUGAGAAUGUGCCCGAGGAGGAAGGCAAGGUCCGCAGCACCCCGAUGUAACCUUGUCUGUGGCUCCAACCCCAAGACUCCCAGGCACCUGGGAUGGAUGCCCAGUGCUACCACCCAAGCCCCCUCCUUCUUUGUGUGGAAUCUGCAGUAGUGGGCUGACUCCCUCCAGCCCCAUGCCGGCCCUACCAGCCCCUGAAGUAUAGCCAGCCAAGGUUGGAGCUCAGACCGUGUCUAGGUUGGGGCUCGGCUGUGGCCCUGGAGUCUCCCCUUCAGCUCAGAAGAGCCUUCUGGAGAGGACAGACAGCUCAGCACCUCCCAUCCUGCUCACACGUCCUUCCCCAUAACUAUGGAAAUGGCCCUAAUUUCUGUGAAAUAAAGACUUUUUGUAUUUCUGGGGCUGAGGCUCAGCAACAGCCCCUCAGGCUUCCA
rnacentral:sRNA from 1 species